UGAGGACUUUAGCCACUAGGCUAUUGCACUGGCCCUACAUCCAUACUUGUAAGUAAGAAAAACACUGUAUUGAAAGGUAUUGUACUGGUUGACUGGGGACGCUACAGGAAAAGUGCUACAGUGACUAGAUGCUGAGAUAUGUUGUCAAGGUUGUUGCCUUCACGCUGUAGGGAGUGUGUAUUGCUGGGAUGUAGAAGCUUUGUCCCAAUCUCUGCUUUUAUCUUCAUUUGACUUCUCCCUUUGUGCACUGGAAUGUAUCUCGUUAAAAGGAUACCAUAUAUCCACCUUACUUUAUUACCCUAUAUAUUUGUGAUGAAUUUCCAAAUGAAGUCAACCUCCUGAAGUAUUGGGUAUUAGCACUUAAAAUUUGAGAGGCAGUGGAGUAUAAUACAACCUGUAACAUCCUUAUGUGUUUGGGCUUUGCUAUGACCUACAUUUUCAUCCUUCCUACUUUCUUAAAAGAUUAUCAAGUUAACUGAGCUACUUCGUAGCCUUACAGUCCUGAGAAUCUGUCAAGAUGGAAAUGCAUGUUGUUUUACCCUGGUGUCAUUGCAUUGACAACAUGGACACAAAGCAAAUUAGGAGAAGAAAAAGACUGAAUCCAUAUUGAUUUCUUUCUUCUUUAUAAGUUGGCAGGGAGCAUGCCUGUCCUGCCAGUCCUCUGCACUGUGCCGUACAUCCAACCUUCGUCGAUAGCUUGGACGUUGACGAUAGCAUCUCCAUCUUUGAAGGACACCUCGUCUGCAUCAGCGGCCAUGUAGUCAUACAUGGCACGGAAAAUUUUCUUUGUGAGGAUGGAAAGAAGAAUACUAUGUGUUAGAUGUAUAACAGCCCAAACAUGUAAGAUCUCUUAUAAUUUAAUAUGCAAAGGGAUUCUAAGCAGCAAAUACUUCUUAAUUUAGUUUUGGUAAUGAAGAUCCUAUCAACUUGAGACAUGUUUCAGGAAAAGCAUAAGAGUUCAUUUAAAAAAACAGGCCAUAAUACUUACGAUUGUUUCUGUACACUGAAAAACAAGAAUGAAUUGGGUAAGUUAGUAACUACUUACUCCGGCAGUGGAUGGGUGGGACGGAAUAGAGGAUAAUGUCGUCUGUUGGGUGGCAACUGACGAUGACCGCUGUU